rnacentral:rRNA from 1 species
CGCCUGUUGAACUUGACUGACUAUUCAUAGUGCAGGGGCCCUACAUGCAUAAUGCCGGGGAUGGAGAAUCAUCAUCAAUUGACGGCACCUUACCAAAUAUUCACGGAUAACUACGUGCCAGCAGUCGCGGGUAAUACGAUAGGUGGCAAGGCGAUUAUCCGGGAAUUAUUGGGCGUAAAGGGUGCGUAGGCGGCCAUUUAAGUCUAAGGUGAAAGUUCGAGGCUCAACUUCGAAUUGCCUUAGAAACUGGGUGGCUAGAGUGCAGGAGAGGGCAAUGGAAUUCCAUGUGUAGCGGUAAAAUGCGUAGAUAUAUGGAGGAACACCAGUGGCGAAGGCGGUUGCCUGGCCUGUAACUGACGCUGAAGCACGAAAGCGUGGGGAGCAAAUAGGAUUAGAUACCCUAGUAGUCCACGCUGUAAACGAUGAUUACUAAGUGUUGGGGAAACUCAGUGCUGCAGUUAACGCAAUAAGUAAUCCGCCUGGGGAGUAUGCACGCAAGUGUGAAAACUCAAA